rnacentral:rRNA from 1 species
CAGCAGCCGCGGUAAUACAGAGGGUGCGAGCGUUAAUCGGAUUUACUGGGCGUAAAGCGUGCGUAGGCGGCUAAUUGAGUCGGAUGUGAAAUCCCCGAGCUUAACUUGGGAAUUGCAUUCGAUACUGGUUAGCUAGAGUGUGGGAGAGGAUGGUAGAAUUCCAGGUGUAGCGGUGAAAUGCGUAGAGAUCUGGAGGAAUACCGAUGGCGAAGGCAGCCAUCUGGCCUAAUACUGACGCUGAGGUACGAAAGCAUGGGGAGCAAACAGGAUUAGAUACCCGUGUAGUCCCUGUCUCUUAUAC